UACGUAGGGGGCGAGCGUUGUCCGAAGUUACUGGGCGUAAAGCGCGCGUAGGCGGUUAAUUAAGUCUGUGGUGAAAGGUUCAGCGCUCAACGCGAACAUUGCCCUGGAUACUGGUUGACUUGAGUCUGGGAGGGGGUAGUGGAAUUCCUGGUGUAGCGGUGAGAUGCGUAGAUAUCAGGAGGAACACCGGUGGCGAAGGCGACUACCUGGCCUAAGACUGACGCUGAGGUGCGAAAGCGUGGGGAGCGAGCGGG
rnacentral:rRNA from 1 species